rnacentral:lncRNA from 1 species
CAAAUAUGCCGUAAAAUGUCACUUUUCAGAUGGUUUUUGUCAAAAAUGAAAGUGGCCGCAUCCGUGUUCAUCCUCAAUCUUUAUAUAUGUAAUGUAUUAUCAUAAAAUACAACUUACAUUUAAUAUUAAGGAUGAACACGAAUGCGGCCGCUUUCGUUUCACACGAAAACCGUCUAAAAUUUAACUAAAAUGCUAGAAUUGUGAAGAUUUUAGUAAUUUAGCAUGACUUAAUGGUGCUAAUACCCGAUACAUGUGCAUUGUAUUGUCAAAAACAGCCCAUAUUUAUGUAGCAGAAGCAUUCUACUGUACAACAAAUAACUAAAAGUUUACAUUUUAACAAUUUUGUAAAACUGCUAUAUUUUGGGGCCAAAAAGGGGUCUUACUGGACCUUCUCCUUUAUAGUAUUUAUCAUUUUA